UACGAGGGGUCCUAGCGUUGUUCGGAAUGACUGGGCGUAAAGAGUUCGUAGGCGGGAAUAUAAGUUAAGUGUGAAAUCCCUGGGCUUAACCCAGGACGUGCACUUAAAACUGUGUUUCUUGAGUACUGGAGGGGGUUGGGGAAUUGCUGGUGUAGGAGUGACAUCCGUAGAGAUCAGCAGGAACACCGGAGGCGAAGGCGCCAACCUGGACAGAUACUGACGCUGAGGAACGAAAGCGUGGGGAGCAAACAGG
rnacentral:rRNA from 1 species